rnacentral:lncRNA from 1 species
UGCGUCUGCUUUAAUUUUUUUGUGCUUAGUACGCUAGAUAAAGGAGUAAAAAUAACAUACACAAUAGAUAUAUGAAGCUCCCAUAUUAACAUUACUAAGGAAAAGGUUUUUUUAAAAAAAAAGAAAAUGGUAAAAGACACACUUCUCUACUUACAUUUUUAUUAGUAGCACUGGCUCUGUUUUAAGUGGAGUUCUAUAACAAGCAAAUGAAAGAUUUCCAGGAUGCCUCUUAAGUAAGGUUACAUGUUACAGGAAACAGGUGUAUUCAAUUCUAUCGUUUAGCCCCUGAGGAGUUAAUGUUUGUAGUUUGAAAAUCCAAAAGGAUUCUCUUUGUAGAAGAAGUUUUUUCACAUCUGCAUUUGGUCUGGGCAAUACUUUUUCUAAAGCACAAAAUUUAAAGCUAUGAUAUGCAAACGAAGAAUUCCUUUGAAUAUAGAAACUGUUAUCUUGGACAAUUUACUAAUUUGAGACAUACAAAUUAAAAGUUAAAUCAUUGAAGUGAAUUCAUCCCAUAUUUCAUUAUGCUACUGCAGAACAGAAGUACAGUAGAGUCUCACUUAUCCAACAUAAAUGGGCCGGCAGAAUGUUGGAUACAUGAAUAUGUUGGAUAAGUGAGACUCUACUGUAGUAGUAAAUGCAGGAAAAUAAUACAUGUAAUAAUAAAUAGAGUAAAAUAAUAAAUGUAAUAAUAAUAAUAAGAUCAGAGUGAAAUAAUAAAUGUAUUAAUAAUAAAAAUAGAGUAAAAUAAAUGUAAUAGUAGCAACAAUAAUAGAGAAAAAUAAUAACUGUAAUAAUACCAAUAAUAAUAGAGAAAAAUAAUAAAUGUACCAUAUAUUCUUAACUAUAAACUGACCCAAAUAUAAGCCAACCAGGACCCUCACCCGAGUAUAAGCCGAGGGGGGGGCUUUUUCCGUUUUUAAAAAAGGGCUGAAAAACUAGGCUUAUACUCAAGUAUUUACAAUAUCUCGGAGACUGUAUUUCCCUAUAUGCAUUCCUCUAUUUUAUCUUUAGUCCUUGUUCCCAUAGAAGGUAUGGGAUUGUCAAGGGAAAGAUAGCAAAAGUAGGAGUGGGAGAAGAAAACAAGGAA